GGGUUAUUUAAACAGUCAAACUGCUAUAAUACCCCAAAAUGAGACAUAGGCCCAUCAUAUCCAUCUAUGAAAAUUCUAACUAUGAAAACUGAAAUAACCUUGUCUCUUAUAUGGCAUUGUAGCUUUACAAAAUAGUGCCAAAGGUGUACAAUUGGGGUAACGUUAUACUCCGCAGAUGUAGCUGAACACAAUAUGGGGUUCUGUGCAGGAAUAGCACACACCAGCUUUACGAAAUACACUUUACAAAAACCUUGUUAUAUGUGUCACGGCCCCCGGCUUGCUGCAAGGUGCGGUCGCGCCCGACCAGCACAACCAC